CCCGGGGCAUGCUGGGAGCUGCAGUCCUGGGCUGCCGGGUGGCCAUGUUGGCUCCCGGGAGGUGCAGCCUCUGCUCCAGCUGCGGCCCGGCUGAGGGUCGGAAUCAUUCUUUCUACCUUUCUGCUGGACUGUGGCCUCCAUGGUGUAUUGAUUAACAGAAAAAAGACUCUACAACUCAAAUAGAGUUAUAAAGCAGGAGAAAACACAUCUUGGGUGUCUCCCUUUGGAUUUGUCAGGGGUUGCUGCCUGCAAUGUGAUGACCCAAAACCAAAGCAGAGAAGAGAGCAGGAGAUGCCUGUCAGAAGGUCCGGGUGCAUGCUGGAGAUGAGUUUUCCCCAGCAGGAGUCUGGGGCUGCUACCCAGGAUUAGGCCUCCCUAAAGCAGAGCUGAGUAGGCUCCAGGACUUGCCUGGGAGGAAUCAUGUUUGGAUCGUGUAGGUGGGAGAUUUUCUCAGAAGGUGAAAAAUA